GGGUUGUGAGGUUAAGCGACUAAGCGUACACGGUGGAUGCCUAGGCAGUCAGAGGCGAUGAAGGGCGUGCUAAUCUGCGAAAAGCGUCGGCAAGGUGAUAUGAACCGUUAUACCCGACGAUACCCGAAUGGGGAAACCCAGUGUGUUUCGACACACUAUCAUGUCAUGAAUCCAUAGUGACAUGAGGCGAACCGGGGGAACUGAAACAUCUCAGUACCCCGAGGAAAAGAAAUCAACCGAGAUUCCCCCAGUAGCGGCGAGCGAACGGGGAAGAGCCCAGAACCAGAAUCAGUUUGUGCAUCAGUGGAAGCGUCUGGAAAGUCGCACGGUACAGGGUGAUAGUCCCGUACACAAAGAUGCGCUUGCUGUGAGUUCGACGAGUAGGGCGGGACACGAGAUAUCCUGUCUGAAGAUGGGGGGACCAUCCUCCAAGGCUAAAUACUCCUGACUGACCGAUAGUGAACCAGUACCGUGAGGGAAAGGCGAAAAGAACCCCGGCGAGGGGAGUGAAACAGAACCUGAAACCGUGUACGUACAAGCAGUGGGAGCCCCACCACCAAAGCAUUCUCUGGUGAUGAAGGCACCGCAACAGCAGCAUCGCGGUGGCGGCGCGUCUUUUGCGACGCCCAACACACAAGACAAGCGGUGAGUGCUUUGGGGUGGGGUGACUGCGUACCUUUUGUAUAAUGGGUCAGCGACUUAUAUUUUGUAGCAAGGUUAACCGAAUAGGGGAGCCGCAGGGAAACCGAGUCUUAACUGGGCGUCAAGUUGCAAGGUAUAGACCCGAAACCCGGUGAUCUAGCCAUGGGCAGGUUGAAGGUUGGGUAACACUAACUGGAGGACCGAACCGACUAAUGUUGAAAAAUUAGCGGAUGACUUGUGGCUGGGGGUGAAAGGCCAAUCAAACCGGGAGAUAGCUGGUUCUCCCCGAAAGCUAUUUAGGUAGCGCCUCGUGAAGUCAUCUUCGGGGGUAGAGCACUGUUUCGACUAGGGGGCCAUCCCGGCUUACCAACUCGAUGCAAACUACGAAUACCGAAGAAUGUUAUCACGGGAGACACACGGCGGGUGCUAACGUCCGUCGUGAAGAGGGAAACAACCCAGACCGCCAGCUAAGGUCCCAAAGUCAUGGUUAAGUGGGAAACGAUGUGGGAAGGCCCAGACAGCCAGGAUGUUGGCUUAGAAGCAGCCAUCAUUUAAAGAAAGCGUAAUAGCUCACUGGUCGAGUCGGCCUGCGCGGAAGAUGUAACGGGGCUAAACCAUGCACCGAAGCUGCGGCAGCGACGCUUAGGCGUUGUUGGGUAGGGGAGCGUUCUGUAAGCCGUUGAAGGUGGUCUGUGAGGAUUGCUGGAGGUAUCAGAAGUGCGAAUGCUGACAUAAGUAACGAUAAUGCGGGUGAAAAACCCGCACGCCGGAAGACCAAGGGUUCCUGUCCAACGUUAAUCGGGGCAGGGUGAGUCGACCCCUAAGGCGAGGCCGAAAGGCGUAGUCGAUGGGAAACAGGUUAAUAUUCCUGUACUGGGUGUUACUGCGAAGGGGGGACGGAGAAGGCUAUGUUGGCCGGGCGACGGUUGUCCCGGUUUAAGCGUGUAGGUGGGUGCUCCAGGCAAAUCCGGAGCGCUAUUAACGCCGAGGCGUGAUGACGAGGCACUACGGUGUCGAAGUGACAAAUGCCACGCUUCCAGGAAAAGCCCCUAAGCAUCAGGUAACAUCGAAUCGUACCCCAAACCGACACAGGUGGUCAGGUAGAGAAUACUCAGGCGCUUGAGAGAACUCGGGUGAAGGAACUAGGCAAAAUGGUGCCGUAACUUCGGGAGAAGGCACGCUGUGCGAGGUGAAGUCCCUGGCGGACGGAGCGUUGCGCAGUCGCAGAUACCAGCUGGCUGCAACUGUUUACUAAAAACACAGCACUGUGCAAACACGAAAGUGGACGUAUACGGUGUGACGCCUGCCCGGUGCCGGAAGGUUAAUUGAUGGGGUAAGCCGCAAGGCGAAGCUCUUGAUCGAAGCCCCGGUAAACGGCGGCCGUAACUAUAACGGUCCUAAGGUAGCGAAAUUCCUUGUCGGGUAAGUUCCGACCUGCACGAAUGGCGUAAUGAUGGCCAGGCUGUCUCCACCCGAGACUCAGUGAAAUUGAACUCGCUGUGAAGAUGCAGUGUACCCGCGGCAAGACGGAAAGACCCCGUGAACCUUUACUAUAGCUUGACACUGAACCUUGAGCCUUGAUGUGUAGGAUAGGUGGGAGGCUUUGAAGCGUGGACGCCAGUCUGCGUGGAGCCAACCUUGAAAUACCACCCUUUGAUGUUUGAUGUUCUAACGUGGGCCCGUGAACCGGGUUGCGGACAGUGUCUGGUGGGUAGUUUGACUGGGGCGGUCUCCUCCCAAAGAGUAACGGAGGAGUACGAAGGUUAGCUAAUCCUGGUCGGACAUCAGGAGGUUAGUGCAAAGGCAUAAGCUAGCUUGACUGCGAGAGUGACGGCUCGAGCAGGUGCGAAAGCAGGUCUUAGUGAUCCGGUGGUUCUGAAUGGAAGGGCCAUCGCUCAACGGAUAAAAGGUACUCCGGGGAUAACAGGCUGAUACCGCCCAAGAGUUCAUAUCGACGGCGGUGUUUGGCACCUCGAUGUCGGCUCAUCACAUCCUGGGGCUGAAGUAGGUCCCAAGGGUAUGGCUGUUCGCCAUUUAAAGUGGUACGCGAGCUGGGUUUAGAACGUCGUGAGACAGUUCGGUCCCUAUCUGCCGUGGGCGUUGGAAGAUUGAGGGGGGUUGCUCCUAGUACGAGAGGACCGGAGUGAACGCACCACUGGUGUACGGGUUGUGAUGCCAAUUGCAUUGCCCGGUAGCUACGUGCGGAAGAGAUAACCGCUGAAAGCAUCUAAGCGGGAAACUUGCCCCGAGAUGAGUCUUCCCUGGGCCUUAGAGGCCCCUGAAGGGACGUUUAAGACGAAGACGUUGAUAGGCUGGGUGUGUAAGCGCAGCGAUGCGUUGAGCUGACCAGUACUAAUGACCCGAGAGGCUUAACCUUACAACACCGAAGGUGUUU
rnacentral:rRNA from 1 species